CGAGUUAGUUUAAGGGAAGUCAGAAAGUGGGUUAUUUUUCAACAUGUUCCUUUGAAGUUUUUAGCUUUAUAGCUUUUGAAGGACCUUUAGUGGAGCUGGGCUCAUACUAAUAAAUUUCUUAUAAUAACUUUCAUUCUUGGCAUCGUUGACUUUAUUGCCCUUAUUCUCUUGGAGCUCUUUACAAUCAUCCUUUUGAAGGCUUUUUUAUGGACACGCUCGGUGGAGUCGUGGCAUUUCAACCCUCAAGAACACCAAUCAACUGCUCUUUUGUUUGCAUGCUUUUCUACUUUGAAGACACCUUUAAUCGCUGAUGUAAUUUGCUCUUCCCAGUCAAUCCCUUUGCAGUAUUUAAAAAUAAUUCGCUGCAUUUUUGCUUAUAAAUAUUAUA